rnacentral:lncRNA from 1 species
AGGGCCGGAUUAAAGAAGGGAUGUCUGCACUCACACGGUCAUUAUCGCUUCCAGCUGCAGACAACGAGGACAAGGAUUUUCAUCUUGAAUGCCAAGACAAACAAAUUAAGACCAAAACAUCAACACUGAGACAACCCCUUCAACAAGUUAAUGACAUUGGGUACCCUAGUUUUAUGUGAACCUAAUCAAAACUAGGAGAAUAGUGCUCUGACCUCUGAGCGUUUAACAAAUUAUAGUGUAAAUAAUAAAUAUUGUCGGCCCUAAGUACAUAAGAUAACAUGUUGACCAAAACACAAGGAGGAGUGAGUGUGCGGGGGGAAGACAAGAGGUCAAACUACCAAUCAACACCAGACAUAUUUUAAGGUCCUGUGUUUUGCAACUAGGCUGGAUAUUAAUAUUGUAUAAAACACACCAAGUAUAUUUGUGAGACUAAGCAUUGUAGAUCCCUCUAACCAAAAUUCUAUAAAUACAACACACAUAAACACAUUAUAUACAAUAUACAUGAAAGUGGCACUAAUUAGUGCGUGAAUGUAAGCGUCUACUAUUGUGAUGCUUUUUUGAAGAAAAAAGUGUAUAAUUAUUCCCCCUUACAUUGAUUAAGACCAUAUUACCAUAAAAUCUUUCAAGUGUUCCACAUAUAAUUUUGAAAAAAUAAUGCACUUUUCUUGUACUUAAACACC